UUACGGCCACAUCACAUUGGAACACCGGUUCCCGUACGAUCCCCAAAGUUAAGCAACGUCGAGUUUUGUCAGUAUCUAGAUGGGUGAUCGCCUUGGAAUAACAGGUUCCGCAA